GUUUAACCUUCAAGCAGAUAGCACGUGCUAUAUAUGUAUAUUUACACGUUAAAAUUCACAUUUUAUUAUUAUUUCGUAUAUACAUAUAUUAAUUUGUACUUAAAGUAUGUGAUAGAAAAUGAAUUUGGUACACAUAUUCCUUGGCACUAUGCGGAGAUUGGUAUGGCAAAUAUACAUGCAUUCUGUAAACAUUUUCUUGCACAGCUAGAAAUUUUUCUGAAAUGAAAUACACCUAUAUAUUUUGAACGCCUGAGCACGAAAAUGAAGUCUGUUUUACGAUUCAUUAUAUAAGUUUUGCGGAAAAUGCGAAAAACCAACGUGGUUUGUAGUUUUAUAGUGUAAUUUUCAAGUAAUUUAUAAAAAUAUAGGAAAAAAAUUAUGCAUUUUCAUAUGGUAAUCGUAGGUUAUUUCGGGUUAAUAUCUCAAUCCAGUAUGGGUAACAUUUAAAGUAAGUAUGAUAAUUUAGUAUGCAAAUUUUCUAAUCAAAAUUCCAAACAGAAGUAACUUCAUCGAACAUAUUAACUUUUCCUUUUGACUUCUUAUGACCGACAUUUAAUAAGCUUAAACGCUGUCAGGUAGUAUAAAUGCAAAGGCAUUAUUAACUCGUCUUUGUGACAUUCACUGUCAUGCUGAGCACUCGUUGAUACCGUUUUGUUUACAUUUUUUUUUUUUUUUUUGUGAGCCACAUAC